UAAAUCGCAAGAACUGGAUUUCCUUCCACCAGUCCUGACUUCCUAUGUUUUGGGGAAAGGCUGUCAUUCCCAGGUGGACUCUGAUAAUAUCAAAAGUAUUGAAUUACAAGAGGACAAGAAAAGAAGAAAGAAAAAAACAACGGUUUGGUUGGAUGGACUCCAUUUUAACUCCUGCUCCAGUUAAAGGGUAGAGAAAUUAUCAACCAAGCCAAUGUGAUAUAGAGUUGGAAGAGGAGUGGCAUGGAGUUACCAUCAAUCCCUUAUAAACGGAUCACCCCUUGCUGGUUUUGGAGGUAAAAGGCAUACCACAACAGCAAAGAGAGGAAAGGAAAUGAAGGAUUUCCAGAAUAUCUGCCAAGCAAAACUUUUUCCAUCCUUUUUAAAGCCUUGAAGUUGACUUUGAGCUUCUAAUAAGCCUUCACCAAACAUCAAAGUUAUCACUUAUAAACGAAACAUGAUCAGAA